UACGUAGGGUGCGAGCGUUGUCCGGAAUUAUUGGGCGUAAAGAGCCCGUAGGCGGUUUGUCGCGUCUGCUGUGAAAAUCCGAGGCUCAACCUCGGGCCUGCAGUGGGUACGGGCAGACUAGAGUGCGGUAGGGGAGACUGGAAUUCCUGGUGUAGCGGUGGAAUGCGCAGAUAUCAGGAGGAACACCGGUGGCGAAGGCGGGUCUCUGGGCAGUAACUGACGCUGAGGAGCGAAAGCGUGGGGAGCGAACAGG
rnacentral:rRNA from 1 species